UGGGGGAUUGGCCAUGCCCCGUUUGGCCCCGCCCCUCGCUGACCACGCCCCCUUUGGCCCCGCCCCCAGCACAUCUGCCGCUACCUCCAGGCCGAGGCGGACAAGAAGGAGCGGCCGGAUUUCCGCGAGGGCUGGAGGGGAGCCUUCAAAAUGAACGUCGCCCGGCAGAACAACGACAGCGACUGCGGCGCCUUCGUGCUGCAGUACUGCAAAUUCCUGGCUCUGGGGCGGCCCUUCAGCUUCACGCAGCAGGACAUGCCCCACCUGCGCCGCCUGAUGUACAAGGAGCUCUGCCACUGCCAGCUCGCCCUCUGAGAAAACCCAAAAACCCGGGGAUUCACCCCAAAAAAAUCCCCAAAAAAUCCCAGGGGAAAAAAAACCCCAAAAAUCCCCAAAAAAACCCCGGAAAAAUCCACCCAGGAACGGCCGAAUUUGGGAAAAUUUGGGGGUUUUGGGGAAUUUUUUGGGGAAUUUUGGGGAAUUUUGGGGUUUUGGGGAAUUUUGGGGAUUUUUUGGGAAGGUCCCAAAAUUUCGGGAGCUCCUGGAAUUCCCGGAAUUCCGAGGAAAAGCCGGAAAAUGGCCGAGGAAAAAAACCCCAAAAUUGAGCAAAAAUUGAGCAAAAAUUGAGGAAAAAUGGGAAUUUUUUGGGGGGCAGGGGAGGGGUGUGGGAGGAUCCCCCAAAAUUUUAAAUUUUAAAUCCCCCAAAAUCCCGGAAAAAUUCCCAAAAUCCCGGAAAAAUUCCCAAAAUUCCCCGAAUUCCUCCUCCCGUCUCCAAAAACGCUGAAAAAUGUCCCGAAUUUCCCCAAAUUUCCCCGAAUUUCCCCCAAAUUUCGGUUCUGGGGGGGGGUGGGG